rnacentral:siRNA from 1 species
AAUGGUGAUGAUUCGGGUCUUGAG